UACGUAGGGCGCAAGCGUUAUCCGGAAUUACUGGGCGUAAAGCGCACGUAGGCGGCUUUGUAAGUUAGAGGUGAAAGCCCGGGGCUCAACUCCGGAAUUGCCUUUAAGACUGCAUCGCUAGAAUUGUGGAGAGGUAAGUGGAAUUCCGAGUGUAGAGGUGAAAUUCGUAGAUAUUCGGAAGAACACCAGUGGCGAAGGCGACUUACUGGACACAUAUUGACGCUGAGACGCGAAAGCGUGGGGAGCAAACAGG
rnacentral:rRNA from 1 species